UCUUAACCCGAAUCCCCUUAAUACCCCUCAAACCCAUUUCUUCUCUUUUCAUUUUAAAAGGACCAAACGAUCCCCAACCUUUUUCUCCCAAAAAAAUUCAUAGAAAGCAUAAUCCCACACUCCAAACCCACGCGAACCCAGUUGUAUUUGCCAUUUUUGGCUAAGUUGCAAAAGCUUUUUACAUUUUUCAAUUGUUGCCUAUAUACUUCGGGCAAAAACGUUGAAAUGUUUCUCUUCAUCUUCUCACAGAAUGGUAAUAUACUGACCCAUUUCCUUUCUUCAAUUUGUGUUUUGAUUUUUCUUCAUUUUCGUACGCAGAUUCGGAUUUCAAAGCAAAUAGAAAUGAAUUUCAAGUUUCAAAUCCAUCCCACAUCGAAUUUAAACUUCUCAAAACCCUAGAACUAGCCUUCUAUAAAAAGAGAACCAUUUCUUCAUUCUUGGAAGGAGUUUUUGGACACCACAAAUUGGUUUUUACACCAACAGUUUGAACACACUGAAACUCGGCUAACCCUUGAGUUUCGAGGAAGUUCUCACUCACAGUUAAUUUUUGGUCUCAUUUCUGUUCAUCGGAAGCUAGUUUGGUUGAAAGGGUGAUCGGCUCAAUUCUCGUCGCCCCUGUCGCUGCUCGGAAAAAAGGGACUUCUCCAAAUCCCAAAUGUCCAUGAGCUACUACUGAAGUUGAGUUUCUGCUGUACUUUGAAAUGGAGGAGUAUUGCCACUGCUGCCUGCGGUCAUGUUGCUCUGAAUUGCUGCAACUAGUUGGCUGCACCUGGGAUUUUGAAACUAUUGUUGUGUGUGGUUUCUCAUUGCUCUAUUUUGGUCCCAUGCUUGCUGCAUCUUGAGAUUGGACCUGCUACAUCUUAAAGAGGCUUUUGUUUUGUAUUCUAUAAGAAACAAGUGCUGCACUUUGUAGUUGGCUACUAUAGGGAUGCUCCAUUUGGAGGAUGAUUUGUUGCUGCAUUUUGAGACCUUUUCUAUUGUCUUAUUUUGAAAUAGAAUCCUAUGUUGUUGUCUUGUUGCUUUACUGUGGCUUCCUUUGUGGUUGUUUGUUGCUUCAACAUAUGACUGAGAUGCUGGUGCUACAUUGAUGUGCAUCUCCUAGAUUUUCUUUGCCAAACAGCUGCUACUUAUGGCUACCUACAACUGCUUUUUGUUAUUUCAUCUCGCUGCUAUCUAGCAGCUGCCAUCUGUGGCUGUUUAUUGCUACUGUUUGUUGUUGCUUGCUGUUGUAUGUUGAUCAUCAGCUGCUACUUUGAUUUUAAAAGAAACGUACAGAUAUUAUACUUGAGCUGACUCUCACAUUUUGUUAUUGAGCUGCAGCCAUGUGUGUGACUAAGUUGUUGCUUUAAAAUGGGCAGAUGCUACACUCUAAUGUUAUGCAGCUGCUAUGGUCAAAUCUUGCUGCACUUGUGAACCAAGUGAUGGAUGUAAUUUGAGGCAAAAAAAUAGAAGCUAUAUAUGGGACCACAUGGUUGUUGCUUAAUAUACGGUGUGCUACCUACAGUUGCCUGUGUUGCUACUUUUGGCUGCAAUUUUGCCACUGCUGUCUGUGGCUGUUUUACCACUGCUUGUUAUUUCUUCUGAAAAAUAUGAACAGAUUGCUACGCUUGGUGAAAUCCCACUGAUUUGAAUAGAUACUAAAAAGGCCGAUGAAAAAAUUUAAUUUGAGGCCAUGCCUUGUCCGGAAAGGUUAUCCCCCGGCUUAGGCGAUGAUGACCUCAUAGUAAUAUCACGAGGUAGGAACGAACAUGCGUUUGGCGAGGCAACUAGAAUGGCCACUAGUCUGCAACCAAGACAUGUUUCGGAUUCCUUUGCCACAUUCAGAAACAUGAGUCUGAGCCUCUGUAAUCAAAGCUCUCAAAGUUUGAUACAAGUCUGAGGGAUAUUAUUAUUAUGUUCAUAAACGUCACCCUAUGGGAUGGCGUACCAUUUUGACUAACUACUUUUCUCUUCAUUAUGCAAGGUACAAAUAGAACAAGUACGGAGAGCAAAGCUUAAAGACGAAGUAAAAAGGAUCGGGUGCUUAGAGCUUCGGACGAAGAACUAGAAGAGCAUGGGAUUUGGUCCCUAGGCUGAAAAAGCUAAAUUAUCUUCCCUUUCCUUUAUUUUGUAUAAACAUGCUUAUCUUACAUGUUUACAUUCAUUUUUUAUGAGCAUGUAUAUACUUGCAAAUACUUGUGUAUUGUUGAAACCCUUUAGAAC